rnacentral:misc_RNA from 1 species
CUGAGUACUACACUCUCUACUACCCUUUGUGAACUAUUAUACCUGUUGCUUCGCGGCGCCCCGCGAGGGUGCCCGCCGGUCUCAUCAGAAUCUCUGUUUUCGAACCCGACGAUACUUCUGAGUGUUCUUAGCGAACUGUCA